UACGGGGGGGGGCAAGCGUUGUUCGGAAUUACUGGGCGUAAAGGGCUCGUAGGUGGCCAACUAAGUCAGACGUGAAAUCCCUCGGCUUAACCGGGGGAACUGCGUCUGAUACUGGAUGGCUUGAGUUUGGGAGAGGGACGCGGAAUUCCAGGUGUAGCGGUGAAAUGCGUAGAUAUCAGGAGGAACACCAGUGGCGAAGGCGGCUCACUGGCCCGGUACUGACGCUGAGGUGCGAAAGCGUGGGGAGCAAACAGG
rnacentral:rRNA from 1 species